UACAGAGGGGGCAAGCGUUGUUCGGAAUUACUGGGCGUAAAGGGCGCGUAGGCGGCCACUGCAAGUCGGUUGUGAAAUCUCCGGGCUUAACCCGGAAAGGUCAAUCGAUACUGCAGGGCUAGAGUGCAGAAGGGGCAACUGGAAUUCUCGGUGUAGCGGUGAAAUGCGUAGAUAUCGAGAGGAACACCUGCGGCGAAGGCGGGUUGCUGGGCUGACACUGACGCUGAAGCGCGAAAGCUAGGGGAGCGAACGGG
rnacentral:rRNA from 1 species